UCCUGACUGGCUUAGUCAGUAGAGCAUGCGACUUUUGAUCUCAAGGCCAUGAGUUCAAGCCCCACGUUGGGUA
rnacentral:tRNA from 1 species